rnacentral:misc_RNA from 1 species
AGUGUAAACUUUAUUGGGAGAGUGACAAGUCAGUAAAAACUGCAUAUAGUUGACAUAUUGUGAUAUUAACGAUGGGAAAGGAUUAUUACAAAAUUCUAGGCAUCAACAAAGGUGCUUCAGAAGAUGAAAUCAAGAAAGGCUACCGGAAAAUGGCGCUCAAGUAUCAUCCGGAUAAAAACAAGUCGCCUGGAGCAGAAGAGAAGUUUAAAGAAAUAGCCGAGGCAUAUGACGUGCUGAGUGACAAAAAUAAGAGGGAAAUUUACGACAAGUAUGGCGAAGAAGGGCUGAAAAACGGACCUCCCCCCGAAAGUGGUUUCCAAGGAUCCGCACCGGGUGGGGGUAAUUUCCACUACGAAUUCCAGGGAAAUCCUCGCGACACAUUCCGAAUGUUCUUUGGAGGAGACGACCCGUUUGCUAGCUUUUUCAGCGGUGGUGGGGGUGGCGGCGGUGGAUUCGGCGGCCCUGGACCAUCGAGAAUGUUCCAUUUCGGCGGGCACCCAGGUCAGGAAGAAAUGGAUGUUGAUGAUGAGGGAUAUGGCCAUUUCGGCGGUGGUCAUAUGGGUGGGGGCCGACCCCAGAGGAAGAGACAGGACUCGGCAGUUGUACGUGAGUUGCCUGUAUCGUUAGAGGACAUUUACAAAGGUGCAACGAAAAAACUCAAAAUAACUCGUAGAGUGUUGAACAAUGAUGGACGAUCGACGAGAACAGAGGACAAGAUCUUGACAAUUGAUAUAAAACCAGGGUGGAAGGCCGGAACCAAAAUUACAUUCCCCAAGGAAGGAGACCAAACACCCAACAAUAUACCCGCAGAUGUCGUCUUUGUUAUAAAAGACAAACCUCACAGUGUAUUCACAAGGGAAGGCAGUGACAUUCGAUACAAAGCCAAGAUAUCGCUCAAAGAUGUAAGUAUAUGAACUGAUAAACAUUUAUCACCAGCAUAUUUUAUUCAUUAGUGUUAAAGCAGCUUCCAAUGUUCUGCAUUGCUUAUAUAUCUGAGUACUGUUGGUAAGAUUAGAUAGAUGAGUACUUAAGAUUCCUAUGAUUCAUGUACAGAGUUCUCACUCAAACCAUUCCUUGUCUUUCAGGCUCUAUGUGGCACCACGCUACAGAUCCCGACAAUAGAUGGCAGGAAGAUUCCCCUGCGACUACGGGAAGUGGUGAAACCCCACACAGCCAAGCGUAUACAGGGCGAGGGACUACCUAUACCCAAACAGCCAGGCAAGCGGGGGGAUCUCAUCAUAGACUUUGAUGUUGUGUUUCCCAACCAGAUCUCUUCUACCGCCAAAGAAAUCCUGUCGGACUGUUUGCCAGCGUCUUAAGUGUAGUGUGCGAUAAUAAUAAGUGUUAGUAUGCAUGUGUAUGCCUGAAGGAAGAAACCUGUGAAGAUAGUGUGAGUGCAGGCAGACUGAACUCUCGCCUCAGCCUGAACGUAUGACAUUUCUGUGACUGUUAUUAUUGCUGCGAGGAAUGUGUAUGAUAGAUAUUAUGUAUUAUGCUAGAGUCGCUGUAUUUUAUGAAGUGCUGAUAAAUGAUGAUUAUU